UACGGGGGGGAGCAAGCGUUGUUCGGAUUUACUGGGCGUAAAGGGCGCGUAGGCGGCCAGCGCAAGUCAGUUGUGAAAUCUCCGGGCUUAACUCGGAAAGGUCAACUGAUACUGCGCGGCUAGAGUGCAGAAGGGGCAACUGGAAUUCUCGGUGUAGCGGUGAAAUGCGUAGAUAUCGAGAGGAACACCUGCGGCGAAGGCGGGUUGCUGGGCUGACACUGACGCUGAUGCGCGAAAGCCAGGGGAGCGAACAGG
rnacentral:rRNA from 1 species